UUAAAAUAAAAUUUUCAGAUGUGGAAAUGAUAUCCUCUCUGAUAUAAUCAAAAUCCUGAAGAAAGGUCUCAUCCUUUACCUUCUUCAGUCCCGACCAAGGCAGCUUGGUAGAAUGGAGAGACAACGGGACCUGGAGUCAGGAACACUUGGGAUCAAACCUCCCCUCUGGUACCUGUUGCUGUAUGGUCAUAGGCAACCUGAUAAACUUCUUCUUUGAUACUACCUAUUAAACCAGAGGAACAUAAUACUAUAUAUUGGACCUCUUCUAAUAUGGUAAUGAAUUAUAAUUUAUUAAUAUGCUGAGACCAAAUUGGCAACAUUCACUGGAUUAUGGAGAAAGCAAAUGAGUUCAAGAAAAACAUCUAUUUCUGCUUCAUUGACUGCACUAUCACAGCAAAAUGUGACAAGUCCUCAAAGAGAUGGGAGUACUGGAUCAUCUUACUUGUCUCCUGAGGAACCUGUAUGUGGACCAAAAAGCAAGAGUUAGAACCAAACAUGGAAUAACUGGUUUAAGACUGGUAAAGGAGUAUGACAAAACUGUAUAUUGUGAAUCAAAAACUGGAAUUAAUGUUGCCAGGAGAAAUAUCAACAAUCUCAGAUGUGCAGAUGAUACUUCUCUAAUGGCAAAAAAGAGAAGAGGUGUUAAGAAGCUUCUUGAUGAGGGUGAAAGAGGAGAGUGUAAA